CAGUUGCACGCUCCAAACCCUGGCACUUCUCUCUUCUCCAGCAUCUCUGAAGAAAUUUUAACAGAGCUUUAAACCUUGAUCUUACUUCCUUAACCUAUUUGUAUUUCCCAGUGAUGGAAAAUAGUCAAAACAAACAACUAUCCAAGCACCGCCUCCAAAAACCAUGAUAACAAAAAACGGAAACAAACUGAAACCCUUUGACCGAAAAGGCAAAAGGCAAAGCAGAACAAAACAAAACCGAGAUGCUUAUCUAUAUGGUGCAGUCUACCUAAAUUCAAAAUCUGUUUCUUUUGUGGCUCAUAGGGAUUCUUUGUUGAAGUACUUUCAGUGCAAAGCUGAACCAAACGAAAGUGGAGUAAAUGCUCACGACCAUUAUUUCCCAUGAAAUUACUGCUGGCUUCAAAGUUUUUACCACCUCACCUUUCUGGAGAACUUGAGUUCUAAUAGUGUCACAUCGCAGGACCUCUCGUGCCAUUUCUGGAAUCUGAAAUUGACCUGGACUUCUGAGUUCAUGAAAACAAAAGGAAGGCAAAUCUCCUUAUUGACCAAAAAUUACACUAACAAUUCAACAGACGAACUUCAACAGAUGAUGAGCAAAGUUGCUAAUUAAUAAACUGUGGAGUUUAAAAAAUAGAGGGGACUAUAAAUUAAAAAUUGAGCUACAUUCCUGACUUUGUACAUGACCAUGAGAAUGUCAACUCUCAACUAUCCUCAGACUUUCAUCUAAACAAGAAGAAACACGUGAACUACAAUGGUAAAUAUGAGGAACAAAGACUGAUGGAAGAGGAAGCAAAAAGACAAUGGAGGAAAUAUUUUAGGAAAUUAUGGUAUAAAAAGUAGAAAAGAGGAGAGGUAGAAAGGAAUUAUUCAAGAAAAUAUAAAAGGGAAAGAGUCAGUAUUAGACAUUCAGAUUCAACAGAUAUUUUUGAACCUCUGUGGGUUUGCCUGUGUGCUGGGCUCUGAACAAAAUGAAAAAGGCCUCUGCUUCCAAGGAACUUAUAUUGUAGUUGUUGUGUAUCAGUUAAGAUUAGGUGGCCUGUAUGAAAAAAAUGUGUGAAAAGAUUUUAAAAUUCAUAUUGUUUUUCUUUAACCCAAAAUAAAACUGAACUUAACCCAGUGUUGGUUAAAUUCUACCCUGAAGGCAAUCACUGUUCAAAACAGCUGCUGUGGCCCCCAGCUUCCCCAUUCAUUACCAGACAGCAAAAAAGGGGAAGAGAAAAUAAAGCAAAAGGGAAAUAUUAUCCCUUAAGGAACCAACCAUACUAGGAGUCUCUUCCCAAAACUUUUAACUUCUAACUCAUUAGUCAGGGUUUAGUCAUGUUGAAACCUUUAGCAUAUAUGGAAGAGUGGGAAGUAAAAUAUUUUUGUUGGGCAUAUCACUGCUCCAAAUAAUACUCGUUGUUUGCUCUUAAAGCAGAAAGCAAGAAUGGAUAUCGUGUAGGGAUCCAGUUGGCUCUGCCAUGGAUAGAAAUGUGAACAAUGUGAUCUUUGAUUAUUAUUUUAUAUUUAUUUGCUUCUUAUGGUCUUCAAACCAUGGCUAUAUUUAUAAUGAUAAAAAAAAAGAGACUUAUGUUGCCUGAGUCUAUUUUCUCCUAGUUGGCCCUAUCAGUUAUUGUUCAUCUAAAUCUACUUUUCCUUUUUUCCAUUCCCUAAGAGCUUACUUGUUUUUAGUGGAACUGGGAAAAUUGUUUAAACUCCAACGUGACUCACAGAACUACUUGCAGAUGUUGCCUUUGAACAUUUGGAGACUAAUGAGAGGUGCACACUAAUCUCAUUAGAUUAUUCACAAAUAAAAACAAUAAUUUUAUAUUCUUAAUAGUUUAAGAUCCAGAGAUUUGGCACAAGACACUGCCAAUUCAACCCUAUUUCCAGUUACUCAUACUGAGGACAUAUCUAAAUAAGUUCCAGAAGCACCUUAAAGUUUCAAUCCCAUUAUAAUUCCUGUGGCUAAUUACUGGUGGCAGAAGGACUGAGUUUCUCUUUCACAUAUUAGUUUUGGAAAGUUAAACUCUGUUAGAGUACUAAUAAGGAGUAUGCUGAUUGCUUCUCAGCUCCUACUUCCCUCCCUCACACUAUUAGAAAAUAAACGAAUGGUUAAAUCUUUCUCUGAAUCAAUCAUGCAAUUUCCUGAGCACAGGAGCUUUACAAUUUGCAGUAUGCUUUUCCCUGUAGUAUCUCACUUUAUUCUCAUACUUUCCCUGUAAAGUAUAACAAUUUGCAGUUAUUACCCACAUUGUACCGUAUCUGGGGGUCUGAGGAGUGACCUUGAAUUGUUCAAGUCACUUGGCCUGUAAAAUUUGAACUAUGACCGAUUAAAAAACAUUUUUUCACUAUAAUUAAUGUCCUUUUAAUCUACCCACAAAUUUUCAGUAAAAUUAUUUUCCUAUGUUGCUGUUGCCAAUACAGAAGCAAAAACCAAAAAACCAAAAAUGUUCUAUGUUGCUUCUGCAUUCCCCUCUUUUAAUUACAUUCAUACACACUUUCGCAUCUCUCCCUUUUCUGCCCUUCCAGAGCAAUUGGUUUUGUAGCUAUCCCUUAAUUAAUGCCCGUUCUUCACCCAUUGGUAUAAAGGGCAGGAAUGAAAUAUCAAAACUUGCUUUGUGAUCGUAGAUUCACUCCUGCUGCGAGGCUGAAUGAAAGGAAUAAAAUUUCAAUUAAGCAAUUACGGAGGAGUGCCGCUGAAAGCCUCAGGGGUGCAACUGUUCCUCUCCAUGAUUUUUGCAGCCCUCAUUGACCAUAUGUUGAAUUUCCAUUUUCCAUGGUUUCCUCUCAGGCGGAAAUCCCCACAUAUUGACAUGCGUGUAAUGGAGGAGCACCACGUGAGGCCCAGUUUUGUAUUUAUCCAAGCCCACUUGCUUCAAUGUCUGUGACAAGAGUAGAAUGGGUACCAGCAAGAGGCCGGACAUUUUCGAUGCCCUGUCAAAGCCUGGCUGUGCUUGGUCCUGUGAUGAUAUGGAAAUGGCUCCCUUCUUAUUGUGCAAGCCAAGCUCACAUGUGGAUUAGCCCUUUGAACACCAAGUCCAUUUCUUUGCUUUCAUUGUUUAGUACUUGUAAGCCAGAACCUGCAUAAAGAGUAGGCAUUCCCGUUUCCAGCCACGUAGACUGACUUCAGAAAGCUUAAGAGAGGCGAGCUCAUAGAGUCACGUUGUCUCCAAGACACCAAAGAAGCCAAGUUUGAUUGUGUUUUCCUGUCUUUCAACUCAUAGACUUCAGGUUCCUGCAAGUUGUGAGCACAAACUAUCACUCUAUAGAUACUCAAGGCACUUGGAAUCAGUCACCACAUGUCUACCCACUGGAAUUAAUUUGGAGUAACAACAUGUUCUGUGGAUAUUUCUUAGUUGCUUUUUUUUUUUCAGUGCCUUUGCUCUGAGAUUAUAAAGCACAUAUUUAAAAAAUUCUAAUAGUUCUAAAUGUGAAAAUAAUGCUUUAAAUACUAAUGUUAUAUACUAGUACUACUAAUAUGCUACAUUUACAUUACAAUUCAAAUUUGUCAUGUCAUUAUUGUUUCUUUGCAUUGCUGACCUUGAUGUUAAGAAACAGAAACACGUGGAAGCAGUAGUGAUCUUUUGUAUCAUUAUUUUAUGAAAGGGGAUCUACGAUUCUGAAGCAGAAGUAUUCAGGAGUUUGUUUUUAAAUGUUAAUACCAUUGUCAAUAUACUCUAGAACUUAAAAAAUGUUACAAAGAGUGCUGAAGAAAGAACUUUAUUUUUUAAAAACAUGAAAAAUAAAAAGGAAUAUUCAUUGAAUCUUCUCCAGUCCCUAUCCCUAAUACCUGAGCCUGCAGAAGUGAACACAGACCACACUAUCCUUUGCAAACAGGGUUUCGAGGGCUCCCUGUAGGACCAAGCCCAGUGUCCUCACUGGUGCAUUCCAAACUGUAAUGGUCUGAUCCAUGCUUUGUUUAACUUCUCUAUUUCCACUGUCUCACUUAAGUUCUAGUAAUAGCAUUUUACUGAAUUUUCCUGAAUAGUUUUAAGCUCCUACAUAAUUUUCCUAAAUUGCUUCAGCCUACAAUGAUCUUCCUUUCUUAUGGAUUGAAUUGUGUUUCCCCCCAAAAGAUACGUUGAAGUUAUAACCCCCAGUAUCUCAGAAUGUGACCUUAUUUUGAAAUAAGGUUAAUGUAGAUGUGAUUAGUUAGGGUAGGUGGGCCACUAAUACAGCAUGACUUGUGCGCUUACUCAUAAGACAAUGGCCAUAAGAAGGUUCAAACACACAGGGAGAAGUGAUGUAUCUAUAAUGACUGCCAACCAUCACCAAAAGCCAGGUGAGAGGCAUGGAGCAGAUUCUCCCUCAUGAAAAAACCCUUAGAAAAAACCAACCCUAUAGACACUUUGAUUGUGGACUUCCAGCUUCCAGAAAUAUGAGAGAAUACAUUUUUGGUGUUUUAAGCUA